rnacentral:rRNA from 1 species
GUAGAGCUACUGGAUAGCUGAUGGGCCUCACCAGGUUACUGACGUUAGCCAAACUCCGAAUGCCGGUAAGUGAGAGCGUGGCAGUGAGACUGCGGGGGAUAAGCUCCGUAGUCGAGAGGGAAACAGCCCAGACCACCAUCUAAGGUCCCUAAGCGUGUGCUAAGUGGGAAAGGAUGUGGAGUUGCAUUGACAACCAGGAGGUUGGCUUAGAAGCAGCCACCCUUUAAAGAGUGCGUAAUAGCUCACUGGUCAAGUGAUUCCGCGCCGACAAUGUAGCGGGGCUCAAGCACACCACCGAAGCUGUGGCAUUGACACACUGCUCGGCCAGUUUUCCUGCGGGGUUCUGGUCCAGGCGUGUUGAUGGGUAGGGGAGCGUCGUGUGGCCAGGGAAGCGGCGGAGUGAUCCAGCCGUGGAGGCCACACGAGUGAGAAUGCAGGCAUGAGUAGCGAAUGACGGGCGAGAAACCCGUCCGCCGAAUAACCAAGGGUUCCAGGGUCAAGCUAAUCUGCCCUGGGUAAGUCGGGACCUAAGGCGAGGCCGACAGGCGUAGUCGAUGGACAUCCGGUUGAUAUUCCGGAACCGGCGAAGAACCGCCCAUGACGAACCUAGUGAUGCUAAACGCCCAAAGCUGUUGUCCAAGACCUUCGGGUUGAGGGUUUCAGUGGAGCGCGUGACCCGAUCUAGUAGUAGUCAAGCGAUGGAGAGACGCAGGAAG